GAUGAACGCUGGCGGCGUGCCUAAUACAUGCAAGUCGAGCGGUAAGGCCUCUUCGGAGGUACACGAGCGGCGGACGGCUGAGUAACGCGUAGGAACAUACCCCAAAGUGAGGGAUAACUGCUCGAAAGAGUAGCUAAUACCGCAUGUGAUCUAAGGAUUAAAGCUUCGCGCUUUGGGAAUGGCCUGCGUAUGAUUAGUUUGUUGGUGAGGUAAUGGCUCACCAAGACUACGAUCAUUAGCUGGUCUGAGAGGAUGAUCAGCCAGACUGGGACUGAGACACGGCCCAGACUCCUACGGGAGGCAGCAGUAGGGAAUCUUCCACAAUGGGCGAAAGCCUGAUGGAGCAACGCCGCGUGCAGGAUGAAGGCCUCCGGGUUGUAAACUGCUUUUAUAUGCGAAGAUUAUGACGGUAGCAUAUGAAUAAGGAUCGGCUAACUCCGUGCCAGCCGCCGCGGUAA
rnacentral:rRNA from 1 species